GCCGGCGUAGCACAGUGGUAGUGCAGCGGUUUUGUAAACCGAAGGCCGGGAGUUCGAAUCUCUCCGCCGGCACCA
rnacentral:tRNA from 2 species